rnacentral:rRNA from 1 species
CCUACGGGGGGCAGCAGUGGGGAAUAUUGGACAAUGGGGGGAACCCUGAUCCAGCCAUGCCGCGUGUGUGAAGAAGGCCCUCGGGUUGUAAAGCACUUUCAGUGAGGAAGAACGCCUGGUGGUUAAUACCCAUCAGGAAAGACAUCACUCUCAGAAGAAGCACCGGCUAACUCCGUGCCAGCAGCCGCGGUAAUACGGAGGGUGCGAGCGUUAAUCGGAAUUACUGGGCGUAAAGCGCGCGUAGGUGGCUUGAUAAGCCGGUUGUGAAAGCCCCGGGCUCAACCUGGGAACGGCAUCCGGAACUGUCAAGCUAGAGUGCAGGAGAGGAAGGUAGAAUUCCCGGUGUAGCGGUGAAAUGCGUAGAGAUCGGGAGGAAUACCAGUGGCGAAGGCGGCCUUCUGGACUGACACUGACACUGAGGUGCGAAAGCGUGGGUAGCAAACAGGAUUAGAUACCCGAGUAGUC